rnacentral:rRNA from 1 species
AGAGUUUGAUCCUGGCUCAGAACGAACGCUGGCGGCAUGGAUUAGGCAUGCAAGUCGAACGAUGAGAUGGAAGCUUGCUUCCGUCGAUUAGUGGCGAAAGGGUGAGUAACGCGUGAGUAAUCUGCCCCUAAGUUGGGAAUAGCCUCGGGAAACCGGGAUUAAUACCGAAUGUGGUCUCCCGUCGCAUGACGGAAAAACUAAAGAUUUAUCGCUUAGGGAUGAGCUCGCGUCCCAUUAGCUUGUUGGUAAGGUAACGGCUUACCAAGGCAACGAUGGGUAGCUGGUCUGAGAGGACGACCAGCCACACUGGGACUGAGACACUGCCCAGACUCCUACGGGAGGCUGCAGUCGAGAAUCUUCCGCAAUGGGCGAAAGCCUGACGGAGCAAUGCCGCGUGCAGGAUGAAGGCCUUUGGGUUGUAAACUGCUGUCACCAGGGAAGAAAUCAAUGACGGUACCUGGAGAGGAAGCGCCGGCUAACUACGUGCCAGCAGCCGCGGUAAUACGUAGGGCGCAAGCGUUGUUCGGAUUUAUUGGGCGUAAAGGGUCCGCAGGGGGUCUGCCAAGUCUGAUGUGAAAUCCCGUGGCUCAACCACGGAACUGCAUUGGAAACUAGUAGACUAGAGUAUUGGAGAGGUAAGUGGAAUUCCUGGUGGAGCGGUGGAAUGCGUAGAUAUCAGGAAGAACACCGAGAGCGAAGGCAGCUUACUGGACAAUUACUGACCCUCAGGGACGAAAGCGUGGGUAGCAAACAGGAUUAGAUACCCUGGUAGUCCACGCCGUAAACGUUGUGAACUAGAUGUGGGAGGAUUUAGCCCCUUCCGUGUCCAAGCUAACGCGAUAAGUUCACCGCCUGGGGACUACGGCCGCAAGGCUAAAACUCAAAGGAAUUGACGGGGACCCGCACAAGCGGUGGAGCAUGUGGCUUAAUUCGAGGCAACGCGAAGAACCUUACCUGGGUUUGACAUGUUUCCGACAGCCGUAGAGAUACGGUCUUCCUUCGGGACGGAUUCACAGGUGCUGCAUGGCUGUCGUCAGCUCGUGUCGUGAGAUGUUCGGUUAAGUCCGGCAACGAGCGCAACCCAUGUCGUUAGUUGCAAGCAGUUCGGCUGCGCACUCUAGCGAGACUGCCCGUGUCAAGCGGGAGGAAGGCGUGGAUGACGUCAAGUCCGUAUGGCCCUUAUAUCCAGGGCUGCACACGUGCUACAAUGGCCGGAACAAUGGGACGCAAUGCCGCGAGGCGGAGCAAAUCCUCAACACCGGCCCCAGUUCGGAUUGGAGUCUGCAACUCGACUCCAUGAAGUUGGAAUCGCUAGUAAAGGCGUAUCAGCUACGACGCCUUGAAUACGUUCCCGGGUCUUGUACACACCGCCCGUCACAUCAUGGAAGCUGAUUGCACCCGAAGUCGCCCGCCCAACUCUUCACUGAGAGGGAAGCGCCGAAGGUGUGGUUAGUAACUGGGAUGAAGUCGGAACAAGGUA